AUCAUAUCAUCAAUAGCUGUUGUUCAUUGCUUUACCAGACGCCGAUUGUUGAAGUUUGUGAACUAAAUUUGUGAAUCGCGGCUGUGAUGUGAAUUGUAGACAUGGAUUUGUAUUUUGUGAAUGUUAUAUCAUAGAUCUGUAUUUAUAAAUGGUUUAUUGUUUUGAAAUUUAAAAUCUGUAAAUUUAAAAUGGUUUAUUGCUUUGUAU
rnacentral:lncRNA from 1 species